rnacentral:rRNA from 1 species
GAACUGAAGAGUUUGAUCCUGGCUCAGAUUGAACGCUGGCGGAAUGCUUUACACAUGCAAGUCGAGCGGCAGCGCGGGGGCAACCCCGGCGGCGAGCGGCGAACGGGUGAGUAAUGUAUCGGAACGUACCCAGUCGUGGGGGAUAACUAUCCGAAAGGAUAGCUAAUACCGCAUACGUCCUGAGGGAGAAAGCGGGGGACCGUAAGGCCUCGCGCGAUUGGAGCGGCCGAUAUCGGAUUAGCUAGUUGGUGAGGUAAAGGCUCACCAAGGCGACGAUCCGUAGCUGGUCUGAGAGGACGACCAGCCACACUGGAACUGAGACACGGUCCAGACU